rnacentral:rRNA from 1 species
GAUGAACGCUAGCGACAGGCCUAACACAUGCAAGUCGAGGGGCAUCGGGGUGUAGCAAUACGCUGCCGGCGACCGGCGGAUGGGUGAGUAACGCGUAUGCAACCUGCCUUCAGCAGGGGGAUAGCCCGUUGAAAGACGGAUUAAUACCCCGUAACACAGGGGCUCCGCAUGGAGAUUAUUGUUAAAGGGAUGCUUCCUUCGGGGAGUAUUCUGGCUGAAGAUGGGCAUGCGUUCCAUUAGGUAGUUGGUUGAGGUAACGGCUCACCAAGCCUGCGAUGGAUAGGGGAACUGAGAGGUUGGUCCCCCACACUGGUACUGAGACACGGACCAGACUCCUACGGGAGGCAGCAGUGAGGAAUCUUGGUCAAUGGACGGAAGUCUGAACCAGCCAUGUCGCGUGAAGGAGGACGGCCCUAAGGGUUGUAAACUUCUUUUGCAGGGGAAUAAAGUAUUCCACGAGAUGGGAUAUUGCAAGUACGCUGCGAAUAAGGAUCGGGCUAACUCCG